AAACUACUCCCUCCGUCCGGAAAUACUUGUCAUUGAAAUGGAUGUAUCUAGAUGUACUUUAGUUCUAGAUACAUCCAUUUUCAUCCAUUUUGAUGACAAGUAAUUCCGGACGGAGGGAGUACGAC
rnacentral:pre_miRNA from 1 species